rnacentral:lncRNA from 1 species
CAGGAAACCAAAUCCUACCUUUACCAUAUGAAAGAACCUCGGUGCUUUAGAAGUGGAUGGAGGCAGCUCAGAACCCCAGCCUGAACCUGGAAGGAUGCUGCAGGUGUGCAAACAUACAACAAAGAAAGGAGCUCUGCCUAAAGCUUUCCAAACUGACUGCAAGAUGAAAUACCACAGGUGGAUGAAAGGAAGGCAGGGAAGAACAAAAGGAAACCGUGAGUCACAUUGCGCUAUUAUCUGAGAAAUGCUGCUGCUCACAGAGGUGAAUUCUAGCCCUUGAGAGGCUGCUUGUGGAACAGACUGAGGAAUUGUCAUCUUGGAGGUGAGUGUGGAAUUGCUGAGAGAAGCUCCUGUAUUCAGAA